rnacentral:tRNA from 1 species
GGGCCAGUGGCUAAGCCAGGUAUAGCGACAGGCUCUUAACCUGUUGGUCGGGGGUUCGAAAACCCCCCAUAUUCCA